rnacentral:rRNA from 1 species
GGCUUCACGAGAAAUUUUCUGUCUCCGUUUAAAAUAAAUUUGAAUUUCAUUUUAAAGUGCAAAAGCUUUAAUGAUCUUAAAAGACGAUCAGACCCUUUGGAGCUUUAAAGAAUACUAUUUUGUAUGUUAAAUUUAGAACAAAAAAGUGGUUUCUUUUUUGUUGGGGCGACAGGAAGGAAAAAUAACUCUUCUUUUUAUCAAUGCUGAUAAGCAAUUUAUAGAUCCUAAAAGAUAGAUUAAAAGACUAAGUUACCCUAGGGAUAACAGCGUUAUUCUUUCGGAGAGUUCAAAUCGAUGAAAGAGUUUGCGACCUCGAUGUUGGAUCGAAGUUUCUUUUAAGUGUAGCAGCUUAAAUAGAGGGUCUGUUCGACCUUUAAAUCUUCACGUGAUCUGAGU